rnacentral:rRNA from 1 species
AUUGAACGCUGGCGGCAGGCCUAACACAUGCAAGUCGAACGAGUGGCGGACGGGUGAGUAAUGUCUGGGAAACUGCCCGAUGGAGGGGGAUAACUACUGGAAACGGUAGCUAAUACCGCAUACCAUCGGAUGUGCCCAGAUGGGAUUAGCUUGUAGGUGGGGGAACGGCUCACCUAGGCCACGCUCCCUAGCUGGUCUGAGAGGAUGAACAGCCACAAGGGAACUGAGACACGGUCCAGACUCCUACGGGAGGCAGCAGUGGGGAAUAUUGCACAAUGGGCGCAAGCCGGAUGCAGCCAUGCCGCGUGGAUGAAGAAGGCCGUCGGGUUGUAAAGUACUUUCAGCGAGGAGGCGUUACCCGCAGAAGAAGCACCGGCUAACUCCGUGCCAGCAGCCGCGGUAAUUC